rnacentral:rRNA from 1 species
CCUACGGGUGGCUGCAGUGGGGAAUAUUGGACAAUGGGCGAAAGCCUGAUCCAGCCAUGCCGCGUGUGUGAAGAAGGCCUUCGGGUUGUAAAGCACUUUCAGUGGGGAAGAAAGCCUUGGGGCUAAUACCCUCGAGGAAGGACAUCACCCACAGAGGAAGCACCGGCUAACUCCGUGCCAGCAGCCGCGGUAAUACGGAGGGUGCGAGCGUUAAUCGGAAUUACUGGGCGUAAAGCGCGCGUAGGCGGUCUGAUAAGCCGGUUGUGAAAGCCCCGGGCUCAACCUGGGAACGGCAUCCGGAACUGUCAGGCUAGAGUGCAGGAGAGGAAGGUAGAAUUCCCGGUGUAGCGGUGAAAUGCGUAGAGAUCGGGAGGAAUACCAGUGGCGAAGGCGGCCUUCUGGACUGACACUGACGCUGAGGUGCGAAAGCGUGGGUAGCAAACAGGAUUAGAUACCCGGGUAGUC